rnacentral:lncRNA from 1 species
GUCACCUAUAAUAUUUUGAGCAUUCAGAAACACACCUAGCGAAGCGCACUAGCAACGACCUAACAACAAUGGCUACCAAGAUAUUAUCCCUCCUUGCGAUUCUUGCCCUUUUAGUGAGCGCAACAAAUGCGUUCAUUAUUCCACAAUGCUCACUUGCUCCUAGUGCCAUUAUUCCACAGUUCCUCCCACCAGUUACUUCAAUGGGCUUCGAACACCCAGUUGUGCAAGCCUACAGGCUACAACAAGCGCUUGCGGCGAGCGUCUUACAACAACCAAUUGCCCAAUUACAACAACAAUCCUUGGCACAUCUAACAAUACAAACCAUCGCAACGCAACAGCAACAACAGUUCCUACCAACACUGAGCCACCUAGCCAUGGUGAACCCUGCCGCCUACUUGCAACAACAACUGCUUGCAUCCAACCCAAUUGCUCUGGCAAAUGUAGUUGCAAACCAGCAACAACAACAACUGCAAUAGUUUCUGCCAGUGCUCAGUCAACUAGCCAUGGUGAACCCUGCCGCCUACCUACAACAGCAACAACUGCUUUCAUCUAGCCCGCUCGCUAUGGCCAAUGCACCUACAUACCUGCAACAACAAUUGUUGCAACAUAUUGUACCAGCUCUGACUCAGCUAGCUAUGGCAAACCCUGCUGUCUACUUGCAACAGCUGCUUCCAUUCAACCAACUGACUGUGUCGAACUCUGCUACGUACCUACAACAUCGACAACACUUACUUAAUCCAUUGGCAGUGGCUAACCCAUUGGUCGUUGCCUUCCAACAGCAGCAACAAUUGCUGCCAUACAACCAGUUCUCUUUGAUGAACCAUGUCUUGUCGAGGCAGCAACCCAUCGUUGGAGGUGCCAUCUUUUAGAUUACAUAUGAGAUGUACUCGAUAAUGGUGCCCUCAUACCGGCAUGUGUUUCCUAGAAGUAAUCAAUAUAUUGAUUGAGAUUUAUCUCGAUAUAUUUCUGAACUAUGUCCAUCAUAUAAAUAAUUGAAAACAUCAAAUCGUAAUUAUAAACUCAUGCUUGGUCAAUACAUAGACAAUGCGAUAUUACUUCAACAUCCCAAUGAUGUCCUAGCCCAACCUCUUGAAUGUUACUGUUUUAACGCGUGAGGGUAUAUUUAUAAGAUAGACGUGACUAUUUGCGCUUUUUUUUAGUACAUACAUAUAUGGUAUGUUGAUUUGAUAUAGUGAUGGACACAUGCUUUGACCAUGAAUAUUUAAAUCAGUUGUACUUGCAUGAAGCAAAACAUAAUAUAAGUUUAGGAGUACACUUAUAACUGUGUCCAAUCAUGCUCACACAAAUUCAUACCACAUUAUAAUUUUUUGGUAAAUAUUCCACACAUGUAUUUUUUACAAGAACCCAAAUAUUGCAGACAAAUGCAGCAUUGUAGACAUGUAGAAUUAUUCGAAGCACGUGAACUUAACAACACCAAGGUCAUUAAGUCAACUGGACCCUAUGAGUAACAAUUUCGAUAUUGCAAACACCAAAUUAUAGAACUUAUUGGCUGAAAAUUUAUGAGCAAUGUGAACUUUAAAUUAUUAUACCAUAAAUAUAUCAAAUAAUUUUUUUUUGAGGAACGUAAAAAUUGCAUGGAAUGGGCUGCCCAACGUGCUAGCUCACUUCUAUGCUAGUUAGCAUUACCAAAGAUGGGAAUGUUGCUGAUGAACGCCAAACCCACUCAAAUAAUAUUUAUAGUUGGGUUGUUUAGUUGUAAAAGUGAAGACCCAAGAUAAAAGUACCAAUUGUCCAAUGACAUUCGAUUAUUUUGUUCGGGGAGCACUUGGUGCGUCAUUUGGACUCGUAUCUUAGUCCAAUAGAUUGCAUUUUCCUUCAAUGUGUAGAAUCCGACAAAGUGCAUGUUCUAAAAUUGUAAAUCUAACUAAAUUAGAAAGCUUGUUACUAAUUUGAUGGUUUAUUAGGUGUAGCUCAUAAAACUAGAACCAACAUAGCCUGCACUCACAUGUCAUAGAAAAUAGGACUAUCCAAGCACAAUUUGUGUGAGCAUCCAUGACACAAAUUAUAUAUAGUCUGAUAUAAUUAAUUCCUUCAAAAUAAAAAAGGAAAAAAUAAAGUGGUUUUUGAUACUGCAGGAUAUCUCCUUUAGCUAAUGAGGAGUACUAAAAAGUUGUUGCACUUUUGGGUGGCGAGAAUUCCUCAAUCAUAACUUUGACAUAAUUUUAAUCCAGAUCACAUAUAUAGCAUCAUAUCUUAAUUAUUAAAUUAUUAUGGUUCCAUCAUCGUAUUAUUAAUUCAAUAUGAUAUAACCAUCAAAUCUUAAUUAUUAAAUUAAUCUGGAGCGUACAUUAGAUUAUCAAACCAAAUCAACCCGACAUAACCAUCGAAUGUUCCGCUAUGCACCUUAAGCACAUGGUCUGGGGCUUAAUCAUCCGGAAUAACCAUCCGAUCUUCUAGUAAGCAUAGUAAGCGUAUGGUUCACGACUUCGUUAUCCGGAAUAACCAUCAGAUUUUCCAGUAUGCACUGAAAGCAAAUGAUCCGGGGUUUUGGUAGGUGAAACAUUGUUAGGUGAAUGCGGAUGCUGGCUGCUGUUGCACGUGUGAACUGCUGUGUGGAAGCUGCUGGGUCCUCCUCUAUUGUGUGUGGUUUGUGGCGGGCUUCGAAUGCUCUCAUGGCUUCGGUGCUUGGAACUGCUCGUACGUCCGGUCCUGCGUGCAUCUCUCUCUCCUGGCUGGAGGCGUGGUGGUGUGGCGGCUUGUCUGUGUUUUUCUUUUUACGGCGGCUUCUCGUGUUGGCUAGUGUUGGCGUCAGGGGCCCGGUCAGCUAUGCUCCCUCAGUUUUAUAGGCAGUGCACCACAGCAGGCAGAGCAGAGAUAAAGAUUCCAACUGCAUCCAUCUACAAACAAGGCUCUCGGCAGAAGGGAUAAAAGCAUGGAGCGCAAUUGUCGCUGCCCUGCUGCAGCCUUGACUCUCGUCAAUUGGAUGACCAAAAGAUGCCACCGUCUAAGCUCUUUUCUAUGUGCAGCUGCCUGUUUGUCACCAACACAAAAUAGUAGGUGCCUGUUUGACACCAAUUAUCCUCUACCACAAAGAACUACAAUAGUGAUGGAGGAUCCGAUCCGGCACAGAUCCACUAUAAUGCAUAUUGGGUGAUGCAUGCCUAAUGGUGGUUGUUUAGUGUUAGUUUGGGCAUGUUGGAACUAAGCAAUUGACGAUGCCAUACACUAGAAGUGAAGAAUGUUGUUAGCGUUAGGAGUUGAGGUGUCAAUGGGGACCAAUACCCGUUAAGCCAUGGAGAAUUUCUCUAUUAGAUUUAGGGUAUGGGAAAAAUUUUAUUUCCAUUUGCUGAUGUUAGGUAUACAUCUAUUUGAAUCAACAGUUACAGUUCAACAGAAACUCCUUCCGCUCUAGUUUGUUUCAUGUCCUAACUUUUUCCUAAACUAGUUUUUCCUAAAUUGACAUACUCUCUACAAAAUCUAUCCAAAUUUUGAAGAUCAAAUCUGUUCCAUUGAAUUAUUCAUGACAUAUAUCUUGGUAUUGCUUUUUGUCAUCAGAAUAUAUUUCGAACUCAGUAAAAGUUAUACACGAUUUUUUAGACAAUACUAAAGCAAGUUGUAAUCAAGAACACUUGAGGUGUGCGCCAAUUGCCACAUUUAGAUAUAAUCAUUCUAAUUUUGGUCAUCCUAUGUGUGUGCAUUCAUCUAUGCAUUCUAGGAUUUCAAUUAGUCUCAAUCUUGUAGUAUUUUUUCCUUCAUUGUCAAAUCACUUCUCAUCUAACUACUAUGCUUGUUUAACCAUUAGAACAUAAGUACAACAAUAUCCAUUUAGAAAGUUUUUGAUAGCAAACUUUACAUAUUCAUAUCAUGUUAAGGUUGUCACAUGUGUAAAGGUGAAGCGAUCAUGCAUGUCAUUCCACAUAGAUUAAAAAAAAUCCUAUAUAAAAAUGACAAUUUUUCUUGUAGGUAGUGGAAAGUAUCUUUCCAGCAAAGACUAUAUAUAUAAUCCGAUAAAGCCGAUAACUAAAUGUCAAAAUCGAGUAGAUGCCAUAUCAUCUAUACCUUAUCUGUUGUUUGGAAAAAAGACAAAAUCCAAAAAAAUAUAUAUGAGAUCUCACUUGUAUAAAUAGCUCCCAAAUCAGUAGUUAAUCCAUCACCUAUAAUAUUUUGAGCAUUCAGAAACACACCUAGGGAAGCGCACUAGCAACGACCUAACAACAAUGGCUACCAAGAUAUUAUCCCUCCUUGCGCUUCUUGCCCUUUUUGUGAGCGCAACAAAUGUGUUCAUUAUUCCACAAUGCUCACUUGCUCCUAGUGCCAUUAUUCCAAAGUUCCUCCCACCAGUUACUUCAAUGGGCUUCGAACACCCAGCUGUGCAAGCCUACAGGCUACAACAAGCGCUUGCGGCGAGCGUCUUACAACAACCAAUUGCCCAAUUACAACAACAAUCCUUGGCACAUCUAACAAUACAAACCAUCGCAACGCAACAGCAACAACAGUUCCUACCAGCACUGAGCCACCUAGCCAUGGUGAACCCUGCCGCCUACUUGCAACAACAACUGCUUGCAUCCAACGCACUUGCUCUGGCAAACGUAGUUGCAAACCAGCAACAACAAUAGCUGCAACUAUUUCUGCCAGCGCUCAGUCAACUAGCCAUGGUGAACCCUGCCGCCUACCUACAACAGCAACAACUGCUUUCAUCUAGCCCGCUUGCUGUGGCCAAUGCACCUACAUACCUACAACAACAAUUGUUGCAACAUAUUGUACCAGCUCUGACUCAGCUAGUUGUGGCAAACCCUGCUGCCUACUUGCAACAGCUGCUUCCAUUCAACCAACUGACUGUGUCGAACUCUGCUGCGUACCUACAACAGCGACAACAGUUACUUAAUCCACUUGCAGUGGCUAACCCAUUGGUCGCUGCCUUCCUACAUGUCACACCCGGUUUUAAAAAGGCAAACCGAAUGCGAACCAUGUACGUGCCAGGAUCAGUUAUUCACGUACACAGCAGUUACAUAAUAUGGACAUCAUCACACAGUGCUCAAAAUAGUAUUAAUAAGGGAAAUAGUAGAUUACAUCAUACGUCUGAGACGUCCAUAUAGUUCUUACAAUAAAUCAAAGUGCGGAAAAGAAACGUAGAUAACGCGGCCUUCACAGGCAGCCGACUGGGGGUUGCCGCUAACCCACACCUAGAACUCGUCGUAAUCUUGGAACUCCUGGAAGUCUCCUUCCACAGCUUCAUCUUCGCCUGAGCAGUGGUUGCAAUGCUGACAACCUGGGGGGGGGGGGGUUUGGUGUGUAGAGCAAGGGUGAGUACACAUCAACAUACUCAGCAAGUAUCCUGUUUGGCUGUAGUGGACUAGCUUUAUGUGGGGAUAAGUCAAGCAGUUGCUUUUAGUUGGUCAGGUUAUUACUUACUAGUAGAAAGCCAAGUUUUAGCAUUAACCCAAGUUAUUAACCCAAUGUAUCCUUUCCAAACGGAAAGAAUACCACUUACCAGCACCAUAACCAUAACCAGAACCAUCAAUCUCAUAACCACCUGUACCACAAUGUCUCUGAUCAAGUACCACUAAUCAUUGGAGCUCCCUUGGCCGCUCAUAACCGCGAGCACGGCUGAUAUAUCAGUUUCAUAACACUCUGCAGAGGUUGUGCACUUUACCCACAAGCCGUGAUUCCCAUUCUGCCCGGAGAUCAUGACUCUCCAUUGAUCACUACCAAGGUGAUCCAGCAGGGCAUCACUACGAAGCCUUUACAAAGAUUCCCCGGGACUGCAGCCACCCGUUAGGUUUCCUAAAUGCACCGCACUCCUCCCCAAGGGGCGAACCCAAACUUGGCAGAGCGAGCCGCAUACACCGAGCCCCAUUGACGGCACGACGGCUAAGUGAACUACACCCCGGAUCCUCUAAUUAUUCAGCUAAGGGCACCCCAUUCCACCCUCAUGGUUGCACUGUUUUCCCGGGCGGUCAUCCAUAGAACAGGUCCUUACGGAGAGGCACUCGAGAAACCGCUCGAGUCCCCUUGAAAACCACAAGUAUAAUCAUAAAGAAGAACGGGAAAACAGCGUAUCAUAGAUAAUCACAUCAUGUUCAUUGAUUAGAGUUGAGCAAUAGCAUCAGACUAAGUAGUAAUAAUCCGACCCAAAUAGGUAAACAAGGACAUGGAUAACAAAAGCUAGUCAAUCCUUAGGUAUAAAUGUGUAAUGCGGGAGGUGAAUUAAAGAAUGAAUAGGACAUAGAUAGGUCAAAGGACACUUGCCUCCACCAAACGACUGCUGCUCAGGGGCUUCUCCUGCGAAUUCCUCGGGCUCUUCGACUGGAUCGUUCUCUAUGCGAGCGCAAACAUACAUACAUACAUCCACAUAUUUAAUACAAAAGAACAGUACACCAUACAAGAUAACAAAUAAAGCGAAUAUGCAUCAAGUAUGACAUUCGAUAACGCAUUUGUUAUGGUCAGAAAGAAACGGGAAAGGUCUCGCAGGGGGGGUUAAAUCUUAUGCACUAACGAUCAAUUACAAUUGGUUUUUAACAAAAUAAUUCUGCUACAUAUACACUAAUGGAAACCUAAUCACUUUUAGUUGAUCAACAUUGCACAGGGUAAACAAUUAACUACGUGCGUCAAUAGCAUAACGGAAUUUUAAAUUAAACUUCCUAUUUUCCCAUAGCAUGAACAGUGAUUAGCCUACUUAAAAUACAGUAAUUAUGAUCACAGAAAGUAAAUAAAAUAAAAUAAAAAAAAAUAAAAAAAAAAACAGAGGGGGGGGCGGUUGAACCGGCCCUAGGGCGGUUGAACCGGCCCUAGGCGGGGCGCGGGCGCGGGCGGCGCAGGGGGCGGCCGAACCGGGGGGCGGGGGGCGGCGCAGGGGGCGGCCGAGCCGGGGGGCGGGGCGGCCGAACCGGCGGGGCAGGGGGGCGGGUAGGGGGCGGCCGAGCCGGGGGGCGGGGCGGCCGAACCGGCGGGCAGGGAGGCGGCCGAACCGGCCAUGGGGAGAGGGGAUGGGGGAGGGAGGAGAGGGGGAGGGGGAAGCUCACCGGCGACGGGGACGGGGCGGCCGAGCGGGGCGGCCGAACGGCGACGGGGAGGGGCGGCGGCCUAGGCAGGGGCGGCGGCUAGGGCAGGGGGCGGGUAGGGGGCGGCGGCUUGGGUGGGGAGGGAGAAAAUGAGGGGGGAGAGGGAGAGGGUUAGGGGAUAAGGGAAAGAGGGGGGGGGCGGCUGGGCCUACUAGGCCCAAGAGGGGGGCGCCAGGGGGCGGCUGGGCCGGCCGGGGUCGGCCCACGGCGCGGGAGAGAGAGAAAAAAAAGGAGAGAGAAAGAGAGAGAGAAAAGAGAAAGAAAAGAGAAAGAAAACAUUUUCGAAAUCCGAUCUUUCUACAUGAAUGCAUUUGCACUUUCAAAGCAAUCAAAAGAAAUGCAAGGUUCGGCAUGGUGCAUCAAACAACAUAAAGUAUUUAGGGUUUUUAUACAUACGGGAAUUCCAAACCGAAUCCCGCUAGAACUUUGGAAAAGGUCAAGGUUUAGCGAGGGAAAAAGAAAAAGAAAAGGUAACGCCCGAAUUUUGGCGAGUAAAGAAAAGAAAAAAAAUUCAACUGCAAAAAUUCGGGGCGUUACAAACCUAUCCCCCUUAAAAGAAUCUCGCCCUCGAGAUUCAGGGCUGGCUAGCAAAGAGCUCCGGGUACUUGGCCUUCAGAUCAUCUUCACGCUCCCAGGUUGCUUCUUCCUCAGAGUGGUGACUCCAUCUGACUUUGCACAUUCUGACGGUCUUCCUUCGGGUGACUCUGUCUGCAAUCUCAAGGAUCUGAGCUGGCUUCUCAACGUAGGUCAAGUCCUCCUGGACUUCCAGACCUUCCACUGGCAACUGCUCUUCCGGCACACGCAAGCACUUCUUCAACUGAGACACAUGAAAGACAUCAUGCACAGCAGACAAAUUCUCUGGCAGACUGAGCUGAUAGGCCACUUCUCCACGUCUUGCAAGAAUCUGAUACGGACCAAUGUAGCGGGGUGCUAGCUUGCCUUUCACUCCGAAUCUUCUGACUCCUCUGAUCGGUGACACUUUCAGAUAGACAAAGUCUCCGACUUCGAAACUCAGCUCUCUUCUUCUUGUGUCUGCAUAGCUUCGCUGCCUUGAUUGCGCUAUCUUCAGAUUCUCUCGGACCAUCUUGACGUUCUCUUCGGCUUCGAGCAAAAUGUCUGGCCCAAACACUUGCUUUUCCCCAGGCUGAUCCCAUUGCAACGGAGUUCUGCAACUCCUUCCAUACAGCGCUUGAAAUGGUGACAUCUUCAAACUGGCCUGGUAACUGUUGUUAUAGGAAAACUCCGCAUAAGGCAAUCGCUUGUCCCAUCCGGACUGAUCUUGCAACGCACAUGCUCUCAACAUAUCUUCAAGAAUUUGAUUGGUUCUUUCGGUCUGGCCAUCUGUCUGCGGGUGGUAAGCUGAACUGAAAUUCAGAUGCGUGCCCAAGGCUUCAUGCAACUGCUGCCAGAAAUGAGAGGUGAACUGCGUUCCUCUGUCUGACACUAUCUUCUUUGGCACACCAUGAAGACAAACGAUCCGAGACAUAUACAAUUCUGCCAAUACUGCACUGUUGUAGUUGGUCUUGACAGGUAUGAAGUGGGCUGACUUGGUCAAGCGGUCCACUACUACCCAAAUGGAAUCGUAGCCGGCUCGAGUGCGAGGCAAUCCGACUAUGAAAUCCAUACCAAUUUCAUCCCAUUUCCACUGAGGGAUCUGCAACGGUUGCAACAAUCCAGCUGGUCUCUGGUGUUCUGCCUUAAUUCUUCGACAACUAUCGCACAUAGCCACAUGCUCUGCGAUUUCCCUUUUCAUUCCGUACCACCAGAAUUUCUUCUUCAGAUCCUGAUACAUCUUCUCACUGCCAGGGUGAAUCGAAUAGGCUGUCUCAUGAGCUUCCUUGAGAAUCAACUCCCGAAUAGACUGGACAUUGGGAACACACAAGCGGUCUUUGAACCAUACCACACCUUCUGCAUCUUCUCGAAAGUCUUUGCCUCUGCCAUCUAGAAUCAAUCGCCGAAUCUCACUGAUCUUCUCAUCAUUUUUCUGCGCUUCUUUGAUUUCGCGCUCCAAGGUAGGUUCCAAUUCAACUGUGACUCCUCGAGAAUUGUUUAGAAAUCCGAGACUCAACCUGUCAAACUCCUUGGCCAACUCAUAAGGCAUCGGACGAGCGACCAUCAGAUUGACUUGACUCUUUCUGCUCAAAGCAUCUGCCACUACGUUUGCUUUGCCUGGAUGGUAAUGAAUCUCCAACUCAUAGUCUUUGAUCAAUUCUAACCAUCUUCGUUGCCUCAUGUUCAAUUCUGAUUGAGUGAAUAUGUACUUCAGACUCUUGUGGUCUGUGUAAACAUCGCAUUUCUGUCCAUACAGAUAGUGCCUCCAUGUCUUCAGUGCGUGAACCACUGCUGCCAACUCUAGAUCAUGGAUGGGGUAGUUCUUCUCAUGAACCUUCAGCUGUCGGGACGAGUAAGCCACAACUCUUCCCUCUUGCAUCAACACACAUCCCAAACCUGUGUAACAAGCAUCACAAUACACCGAGAAGGGCUUGUGCACAUCAGGCAAGACUAGGACAGGCGCUGUUGUCAACUUCUCUUUCAGCGCUUCAAAGGCCUCUUGGCAUUUCUGGGUCCACUUGAACUCAACCUUGUUGCCUAGCAACGCUGUCAUUGGCUUCGCAAUCUUCGAAAACCCUUUAAUGAAUCGCCGAUAAUAUCCGGCCAUUCCAAUGAAGCUCUUGAUUCCUCUAGCAUCUGUUGGUGCUUUCCAGUUCAGAAUGUCUGCCACUUUCUUCGGAUCCACAGUCAAUCCUUCUUUGUUGAUUAUGUGACCCAAGAACAGGACUUCACUGAUCCAGAACUCACACUUGCUCAACUUUGCAUACAACUGGUGCUCUCGCAAUCUCUGCAACACCAUCCUCAAAUGAUCUGCAUGCUCUUCUUCACUUUGAGAAUAAACCAGAAUGUCAUCAAUGAAUACCACCACGAACUUAUCAAGAUAAUCCAUGAAUACACUGUUCAUCAAGUUCAUAAAGAAUGCUGGCGCAUUGGUCAAACCAAAAGACAUCACUGUGAACUCAUAUAAACCAUACUUGGUAAUGAAUGCCGUCUUCGGAAUGUCCGAAGGUCGGAUCCUGAGCUGAUGAUAACCUGACCUCAGAUCGAUCUUGGAGAACACACUGGCUCCUCUCAACUGGUCGAACAGAUCUUCUAUUCUGGGCAAAGGAUACUUGUUCUUGAUCGUGACCUCAUUCAAAGCUCGAUAGUCGAUACACAUCCUCUUGGUACCAUCUUUCUUCUCCACAAACAAGACAGGGGCGGCCCAAGGCGAGGUGCUUGGCCGGAUGUAACCUUUUUCUGACAGCUCAUCAAUCUGCUUCUUAAGCUCAUCCAACUCUGGUCCAGAUAUUCUGUAAGCUCUCUUGAAGAUAGGGGCGGUUCCAGGAAGAAGCUCUAUGGCAAAUUCAACUUUCCGCUCUGGUGGCAUACCCGGUAAAUCCUUUGGAAACACAUCUGGGAAUUCGGACACAACCUUGAUACUCUCAAUCGGGUCUGCUUCACUGCUAUCGACAGUCAUCUGAUAACAACUUCCUUUCUUUGGCUCAGGCGGGACUAACUCAGUCACCACUUCCUCUCCUAGUGGGGACACUAACUUGAUUGUCCUUUUAUCACAACUGAUAACUGCCUGAUACUUAUCUAGCCAAUUCAUCCCUAGGAUGACAUCUAUUCCCUGAGUACCCAUUACUAUAAGGUUGGCGGGAAACGCUAUCCCCCUUAUUUUCACACUUAUAUUCAAACAAAUGCUAUCGGCUCGAAUUCUACCACCGGCUGAAUCAAUUUGAAUGGGGGUUGACAUGGUAGUUAUUGGAAGUUUAUGUGCUUCUACCCAUGAUGCAGUAAUGAAAGAAUGUGUUGCUCCAGUAUCAAAUAACACUUCUGCAAUAUGGGAGUCGACUGGGAACAUACCUACUGUCAUGCCGGGGGUCUCCUGAACUGCUUCAGCUUCCAAGUGGUUCAAUCUUCCAUGAUUAUAGCGCUGCUGAGAGCGAUUGCCUGCUCCAGGCUGAGACACAUUCUGCUUUGCUGGGGCAUUGGGGCCUGACUGCUGCUGGGCUGCCUUCUUUGGACAUUGCAUCACCCAAUGGCCUUGCUCUCCACAGUGGAAACAUGCCCUGUUUCCAACCUGAGCUGGUGCUGCCUGACUGUUCUGCUGAUUUGCUGGGGCAGGAAGACGAGGUGCUUGCUGAUUCUGCCUUUGAAACUGACCUCCUGACUGAUUGCUCUGACGGUUCUGGUACUGAUUCUGAGGGUACUGCCUUUGGAACUGCUGAUACUGCUGACGCUGCUGAUGCUGCUGAGGUGGACGCUGGUUCUGCCUGAACUGCUGAGGUUGAUUGCCUGAAAAGCGAGGGCGACUGCUGCUUCCAGACUGCGGUCCACUGAUCUUGCGCUUACGAUCUUCCAUCUCCUUGCGCUUCCUUUCUGUCAUGAUUGCUCUGUCAAUCAGGUGCUGGAAUGUCGGGAAGGUGUGAUUCAUCAGCUGAUACUGCAGAGGGUCAACCAAGCCUCUCAGGAAACGGUACUGUCGCUUGGCGUCGGUGUUGACAUCUUCAGGAGCAUAGCGAGACAAUUGCAGAAACUUGUCCCGGUACUCACUGACAGACAAUGGCCCUUGCUUAAGGGCCAGGAACUCCUCCUUCUUCACUGUCAUCAGACCUGCAGGCACAUGGUACUGACGAAAGCUACCCCUGAAUUCUUCCCAGGUGAUGGUGUCGGGGUUGGCAUGGGUGGCGAGGUAAGACUCCCACCAUGACUGGGCUGCUCCUCUCAACAGACGGGGACCAUACAGAACUUUCUCCCUGUCAUCGCACUGAGCGGUAUGCAACUCCCGCUCCACAGUGCGCAGCCAAUCUUCAGCAUCCAUGGGGUCAGAAGAGUGAGCGAACGUUGGUGGAUGACCUCUCAUGAAUUCAGCACGCUUAUCUCUAGGCAUCUGAGGCAUCUGAGGCUGGGGUGGUGCUUGCUGCUGUUGCUGCUGCUGCUGCUGCUGAAUGGCGGCCAAAGUCUGACCGAUGGCUUGAACUGCCUGAGUCUGCAUCAGAAACAUCUGCUCAAUCGACAUCGGGGGCGGGGGCGGCAGGUGCUGCUGCUGGGGCACCUCAUCCUGCGGAGCGGCUCGCUCCUGCUGAGCACGCCUUCCUCCUCUACGCCUGUUCUCUGACAUCUGCAGAACGCAACCACACAUCAGAACUGAUCUGGCAAAUCUUGCAGCAUAAGGAAAGAGAAUAGAAUUCUUCAACAGCACUGGGCAGGUGAGCAUCUUCACUGAUCUCCAACACAGACCACACAUCUUCUCAGAUAAAGAGGAAAGGAGAAUAAUGGGUUUCCCAACUAUAUAACUAACUUUAUUGACAUAGUAUGUAAACCAAAAUGCAGGGGAUACCCACACUCUGGUGACAAUCAUUACAAAGAUCCAAACCAAACAUAGUUCAUCAUGACAAGCAUAAAUGCACAGGAUAUAGCAAACUACCCUGUCUAACUAAAACUAACUAAGACCGAGACUAACGCUAAGACUGAAGCUUCUAUGUAUAUAUUUAUUUCGUAUUAAUUACAAGAUCCAGCUCUAACGAUCUAUGGUUCUAGAGUUAUCUUGGUCUUGCAGGCGGGAUUGCCAUAAGACUGGUGUCCACGCUGAGGUGAGCGGUACGGGUGCUGAGUCCCAACGGGAGCGGGGGAACCACCAUCCAGAAAACGACGUUCCGCGCGCUCAGCCCGCAGCAGGGCGAUCUCAGCACGAGCCCUACUCAGCUCGUCUAAUGCAUGGUCCAGCUCCGUGUUUAGCACGGCGGCUAGGUUGACUGUGCUGCUCAACCUAGGAUUGCCCUCACCGACAGGUGAGACAAUCACGCCUCCUGUGCUGCCAGAUGAACGGCGGGGGUAAUACUUCAGGUCAAGACCGUCAGCUGCCCCACCGAAAACCGAGCAGUAGUGCGAAAGCGCACGCCGUGCAGCAUCUUGCAUGGCUGCCUCAGCUGAGUCCCGCUCAGAGAUAGAAUAGUACUCUGAACAGGCCUCUGCACCCUGGAGACUGUCCUCCGGGCAGCGCACCAAGCAAGUCGCCUCCCAGCGGUCCGGGUAGACCCCGCGACUAUGCUGGUAGACCACACAGCGAUACUCGACGGACCAAGUAUGCCGGUCAAAUGCCCGACGUAGCAGGGUGUCGAGCGCAUCAUGGAAGUGACACCCGCGAGCAGCGUCGCGAGUGAUGGGUCGAGCAACCCAUCCUUCCGGCUCAGGAUUAGCAGAGAAGUCGGUGUCGUGGCUCGAGCUGUCGUCGCCAUCUCCGUCGUCUGGGUCUCCUCCAGCAGCUACUCCAGAAGCUGGGGCGCCCAGUGGUGGUGCAGGGGGCGGCUCCAGAGAAAGCACAGGGGAGCAGCUCCUCACAGACUCUAUCUCCUGGUGGAGCGAGAGGGAAGAGCUCCGCUGCUCCUGUCGUCGACGCUCCUGCUCCUCACGCAGGCGGUGGUGUAGUCUCUCCAAGUGGCUGGACUGUCCGGCCACGGGACGGCGAAGCGGACGCUCAGCAAGGCGGGAGGGUAAGAAGGGGAUGACUGACUUUCGUGCAGUGUGUCUAAGUCGAGCCAUCUACAAAAGACAUCGCAAGCAAAAGGGUGAGAACAGAAUUAAUAUGACCAGCAAGUAAUAAGUAAAUGAAGGAUCAGAAUAAAACAUAAUUUUCAGCAAGGUAUAAUAUGUAGUAGAACAUAGGUUUGGUCAGUAGGACCAACUUUUGAAGGGAUAUCAAAGUCAAGGAAGAGACAGAGGUCUAUAGUCCUUAGAACGACCAUUCUACUCUAGGUUAGCGGUCCUACAGUCAGCACGGCUCUGAUACCACUUAUGUCACACCCGGUUUUAAAAAGGCAAACCGAAUGCGAACCAUGUACGUGCCAGGAUCAGUUAUUCACGUACACAGCAGUUACAUAAUAUGGACAUCAUCACACAGUGCUCAAAAUAGUAUUAAUAAGGGAAAUAGUAGAUUACAUCAUACGUCUGAGACGUCCAUAUAGUUCUUACAAUAAAUCAAAGUGCGGAAAAGAAACGUAGAUAACGCGGCCUUCACAGGCAGCCGACUGGGGGUUGCCGCUAACCCACACCUAGAACUCGUCGUAAUCUUGGAACUCCUGGAAGUCUCCUUCCACAGCUUCAUCUUCGCCUGAGCAGUGGUUGCAAUGCUGACAACCUGGGGGGGGGGUUUGGUGUGUAGAGCAAGGGUGAGUACACAUCAACAUACUCAGCAAGUAUCCUGUUUGGCUGUAGUGGACUAGCUUUAUGUGGGGAUAAGUCAAGCAGUUGCUUUUAGUUGGUCAGGUUAUUACUUACUAGUAGAAAGCCAAGUUUUAGCAUUAACCCAAGUUAUUAACCCAAUGUAUCCUUUCCAAACGGAAAGAAUACCACUUACCAGCACCAUAACCAUAACCAGAACCAUCAAUCUCAUAACCACCUGUACCACAAUGUCUCUGAUCAAGUACCACUAAUCAUUGGAGCUCCCUUGGCCGCUCAUAACCGCGAGCACGGCUGAUAUAUCAGUUUCAUAACACUCUGCAGAGGUUGUGCACUUUACCCACAAGCCGUGAUUCCCAUUCUGCCCGGAGAUCAUGACUCUCCAUUGAUCACUACCAAGGUGAUCCAGCAGGGCAUCACUACGAAGCCUUUACAAAGAUUCCCCGGGACUGCAGCCACCCGUUAGGUUUCCUAAAUGCACCGCACUCCUCCCCAAGGGGCGAACCCAAACUUGGCAGAGCGAGCCGCAUACACCGAGCCCCAUUGACGGCACGACGGCUAAGUGAACUACACCCCGGAUCCUCUAAUUAUUCAGCUAAGGGCACCCCAUUCCACCCUCAUGGUUGCACUGUUUUCCCGGGCGGUCAUCCAUAGAACAGGUCCUUACGGAGAGGCACUCGAGAAACCGCUCGAGUCCCCUUGAAAACCACAAGUAUAAUCAUAAAGAAGAACGGGAAAACAGCGUAUCAUAGAUAAUCACAUCAUGUUCAUUGAUUAGAGUUGAGCAAUAGCAUCAGACUAAGUAGUAAUAAUCCGACCCAAAUAGGUAAACAAGGACAUGGAUAACAAAAGCUAGUCAAUCCUUAGGUAUAAAUGUGUAAUGCGGGAGGUGAAUUAAAGAAUGAAUAGGACAUAGAUAGGUCAAAGGACACUUGCCUCCACCAAACGACUGCUGCUCAGGGGCUUCUCCUGCGAAUUCCUCGGGCUCUUCGACUGGAUCGUUCUCUAUGCGAGCGCAAACAUACAUACAUACAUCCACAUAUUUAAUACAAAAGAACAGUACACCAUACAAGAUAACAAAUAAAGCGAAUAUGCAUCAAGUAUGACAUUCGAUAACGCAUUUGUUAUGGUCAGAAAGAAACGGGAAAGGUCUCGCAGGGGGGGUUAAAUCUUAUGCACUAACGAUCAAUUACAAUUGGUUUUUAACAAAAUAAUUCUGCUACAUAUACACUAAUGGAAACCUAAUCACUUUUAGUUGAUCAACAUUGCACAGGGUAAACAAUUAACUACGUGCGUCAAUAGCAUAACAGAAUUUUAAAUUAAACUUCCUAUUUUCCCAUAGCAUGAACAGUGAUUAGCCUACUUAAAAUACAGUAAUUAUGAUCACAGAAAGUAAAUAAAAUAAAAUAAAAAAAAAUAAAAAAAAAACAGAGGGGGGGGCGGUUGAACCGGCCCUAGGGCGGUUGAACCGGCCCUAGGCGGGGCGCGGGCGCGGGCGGCGCAGGGGGCGGCCGAACCGGGGGCGGGGGCGGCGCAGGGGGCGGCCGAGCCGGGGGGCGGGGCGGCCGAACCGGCGGGGCAGGGGGGCGGGUAGGGGGCGGCCGAGCCGGGGGGCGGGGCGGCCGAACCGGCGGGCAGGGAGGCGGCCGAACCGGCCAUGGGGAGAGGGGAUGGGGGAGGGAGGAGAGGGGGAGGGGGAAGCUCACCGGCGACGGGGACGGGGCGGCCGAGCGGGGCGGCCGAACGGCGACGGGGAGGGGCGGCGGCCUAGGCAGGGGCGGCGGCUAGGGCAGGGGGCGGGUAGGGGGCGGCGGCUUGGGUGGGGAGGGAGAAAAUGAGGGGGGAGAGGGAGAGGGUUAGGGGAUAAGGGAAAGAGGGGGGGGGCGGCUGGGCCUACUAGGCCCAAGAGGGGGGCGCCAGGGGGCGGCUGGGCCGGCCGGGGUCGGCCCACGGCGCGGGAGAGAGAGAAAAAAAAGGAGAGAGAAAGAGAGAGAGAAAAGAGAAAGAAAAGAGAAAGAAAACAUUUUCGAAAUCCGAUCUUUCUACAUGAAUGCAUUUGCACUUUCAAAGCAAUCAAAAGAAAUGCAAGGUUCGGCAUGGUGCAUCAAACAACAUAAAGUAUUUAGGGUUUUUAUACAUACGGGAAUUCCAAACCGAAUCCCGCUAGAACUUUGGAAAAGGUCAAGGUUUAGCGAGGGAAAAAGAAAAAGAAAAGGUAACGCCCGAAUUUUGGCGAGUAAAGAAAAGAAAAAAAAUUCAACUGCAAAAAUUCGGGGCGUUACACUACAGCAGCAACAAUUGUUGCCAUACAACCAGUUCUCUUUGAUGAACCCUGUCUUGUCGAGGCAGCAACCCAUCGUUGGAGGUGCCAUCUUUUAGAUAACAUAUGAGAUGUACUCGAUAAUGGUGCCCUCAUACCGGCAUGUGUUUCCUAGAAAUAACCAAUAUAUUGAUUGAGAUUUAUCUCGAUAUAUUUCUGAACUAUGUCCAUCAUAUAAAUAAUUGAAAACAUCAAAUCGUAAUUAUAAACUCAUGCUUGGCCAAUACAUAGACAAUGCGAUAUUACUUCAACAUCCCAAUGAUGUCCUAGCCCAACCUCUUGAAUGUUAGUGUUUUAAUGUGUGAGGGUAUAUUUAUAAGAUAGACGUGACUAUUUGCGCUUUUUCAGUACAUACACAUAUGGUAUGUUGAUUUGAUAUAGUGAUGGACACAUGCUUUGACCAUGAAUAUUCAAAUCAGUUGUACUUGCACGAAGCAAAACAUAAUAUAAGUUUAGGAGUACACUUAUAACUGUAUCCAAUCAUGCUCACACAAAUUCAUACCACAUUAUAAUUUUUUGGUAAAUAUUCCACACAUGUACUUUUUACAAGAACCCAAAUUUUGCAAACAAAUGUAGCAUUGUAGACAUGUAGAAUUCUUUGAAGCACGUGAACUUAACAACAUCAAGGUCAUUAAAUCAACUAGACCCUAUGAGUAACAAUUUCGAUAUUGCAAACACCAAAUUAUAGAACUUAUUGGCUGAAAAAUUAUGAGCAAUGUGAACUUUAAAUUAUUAUACCAUAAAUAUAUCAAAGAAUUUUUUUAGGAACGUAAAAAUUGCAUGGAAUGGGCUGCCCAACGUGCUAGCUCACUUCUAUGCUAGGCAGCAUUACCAAAGAUGGGAAUGUUGCUGAUGAACGCCAAACCCACUCAAAUAAUAUUUAUAUUUGGGUUGUUUAGUUGUAAAAGUGAAGACCCAAGAUAAAAGUACCAAUUGUCCAAUGACAUUCGAUUAUUUUGUUCGGGGAGCACUUGGUGCGUCAUUUGUACUCGUAUCUUAGUCCAAUAGAUUGUAUUUUCCUUCAAUGUGUAGAAUCCGACAAAGUGCAUGUUCUAAAAUUGUAAAUCUAACUAAAUUAGAAAGCUUGUUACUAAUUUGAUGGUUUAUUAGGUGUAGCUCAUAAAACUAGAACCAACAUAGCCUGCACUCACAUGUCAUAGAAAAUAGGAGUAUCCAAGCACAAUUUGUGUGAGCAUCCAUGACACAAAUUAUAUAUAGAGUGAUAUAAUUAAUUCCUUCAAAAUAAAAAAAGGAAAAAAUAAAGUGUUUUUUGAUACUGCAGGAUAUCUCUUUUAGCUAAUGAGGAGUACUAAAAAGUUGUUGCACUUUUGGGUGGCGAGAAUUCCUCAAUCAUAACUUUGACAUAAUUUUAAUCCAGAUCACAUAUAUAGCAUCAUAUCUUAAUUAUUAAAUUAAUAUGGUUCCAUCAUCGUAUUAUUAAUUCAAUCUGAUAUAACCAUCAAAUCUUAAUUAUUAAAUUAAUCUGGAGCAUACAUUAGAUUAUCAAACCAAAUCAACCCGACAUAACCAUCGAAUGUUUCGCUAUGCGCCUUAAGCGCAUGGUCUCAGGCUUAAUCAUCCGGAAUAACCAUUCGAUCUUCUGGUAAGCAUAGUAAGCGUAUGGUUCAUGGCUUCGUCAUCCGGAAUAACCAUCAUAUUUUCCGGUAUGCACUGAAAGCAAAUGAUCCGGGGUUUUGGUAGGUGAAACGUUGUUAGGUGAAUGCGGAUCCUGGCUGCUGUUGCACGUGUGAACUGCUGUGUGGAAGCUGCUGGGUCCUCCUCUAUUUUGCGUGGUUUGUGGCAGGCUUGGAAUUCUCUCAUGGCUUCGGUGCUUGGAACUGCUCGUACGUCCGGUCCUGCGUGCAUCUCUCUCUCUCUCCUGGCUGGAGGUGUGGUGGUCUGGCGGCUUGUCUGUGUUUUUCUUUUUACGACGGCUUCUCGUGUUGGCUAGGGUUGGCGUCAGGGGCCCGGUCAGCUAUGCUCCCUCUGCUUUUAUAGGCAGUGCACCACAGCAGGCAGAGCAGAGAUAAAGAUUCCAACUGCAUCCAUCUACAAACAAGGCUCUCGGUGGAAGGGAUAAAAGCAUGCAUCGCAAUUGCCGCUGCCCUGCUUUAGCCUUGAGUCUCGUCAAUUGGAUGACCAAAAGAUGUCACCGUCUAAGCUCUUUUCUUUGUGCAGCUGCCUGUUUGUCACCAACACAAAAUUGUAGGUGCAUGUUUGACACCAAUUAUCCUCUACCACAAAGAACUACAAUAGUGAUGGAGGAUCUGAUCCGGCACUGAUCCACUAUAAUGCAUAGUGGGUGAUGCAUGUCUAAUGGUGGUUGUUUAGUGUUAGUUUGGGCAUGUUGGAACUAAGCAAUUGUCGAUGCCAUACACUAGAUGUGAAGAAUGUUGUUAGCGUUAGGAGUAGAGGUGUCAAUGGGGACCGAUACCCGUUAAGCCAUGGAGAAUUUCUCUAUUAGAUUUAGGGUAUGGGAAAUUUUUUAUUUCCAUUUGCUGAAGUUAGGUAUACAUCUAUUUGAAUCAAUAGUUACAGUUCAACAGAAACUCCUUCCGCUCUAGUUUGUUUCAUGUCCUACCUUUUUCCUAAACUAGUGUUUCCUAAAUUGACAUACUCUCUAGAAAAUCUAUCCAAAUUUUGAAGAUCAAAUAUGUUCCAUUGAAUUAUUCAUGACAUAUAUCUUGGUAUUGCUUUUUGUCAUCAGAAUAUAUUUUGAACUCAGUAAAAGUUAUACACGAUUUUUUUAGACAAUACUAAAGCAAGUUGUAUCAAGAACACUGGAGGUGUGCGCCAAUUGCCACAUUUAGAUAUAAUCAUUCUAAUUUUGGUCAUCCUAUGUGUGUGCAUUCAUCUAUGCAUUCUAGGAUUUCAAUUAGUCUCAAUCUUGUAGUAUUUGUUCCUUCAUUGUCAAAUCACUUCUCAUCUAACUACUAUGCUUGUUUAACCAUCAGAACAUAACUACAACAAUAUCCAUUUAUAAAGGUUUUGAUAGCAAACUUUACAUAUUCAUAUCAUGUUAAGGUUGUCACAUGUGUAAAGGUGAAGAGAUCAUGCAUGUCAUUCCACGUAGAUGAAAAGAAUUCCUAUAUAAAAUGACACCUUUUCUUGUAGGUAGUGGAAAGUAUCUUUCCAGCAAAGACCAUAUAAUCCGAUAAAGUUGAUAACUAAAUGUCAAAAUAGAGUAGAUGCCAUAUCAUAUAUACCUUAUCUGUUGUUUGGAAAAAAAAGACUAAAUCCCAAAAAUAUAUAUGAGAUCUCACUUGUAUAAAUAGCUCCCAAAUUAGUAGUUAACCAUCACCCAUAAUAUUUUGAACAUUCAGAAACACACCUAGCGAAGCGCACUAGCAACGACCUAACAACAAUGGCUACCAAGAUAUUAUCCCUCCUUGCGCUUCUUGCCCUUUUUGUGAGCGCAACAAAUGCGUUCAUUAUUCCACAAUAUUAGUUAUACUCUUAAUGUCACGAUGUAUAUGUUUGAUUAAAUUGUUUAAUAGAUAUAAUCAAAGAUAAAUAACUUGCAUGGCUCCGUAGGAUAUUAUGUGUAUCUUGUUCAUGAUCACUAAUGGUCCUCAUAGGCACCAUUUGAUUUGCUGCUCCCAUUGUCUCAAUUUCCAUUGUAUUGUCAUCGUUGACCCCCGACGCUCGAAAUUCUGCAGGUGGUGUUACAAUAUGUCUCCGUGGACUCGUAGCACAGUUUGGAGAUUUAAGUCUUAGGGUGAGCGCUGUUGGUAGACCACUGUAUGUGUCUGCACGACGGCCACCAUAUUUGACUUUUUAUUUUAUAAACCGAUGUAUUUAUACAAAUAUUAAUGUACCUGAUGCAGCUCUGUGCAUGAUGCAGAAGAAACAUCACCAGUUUCUUCUUCUCCACCGUCAACCAUGGGUCAACAAUGCAGCGACGCCGCCAGUUCCCUUUCUUAUAUGCACCGCUCUGUCUAGUCUCGGGUAGCCAUGUUUACGCUAUUUUUUGUGGUCAUUUACGGUCUAUAAAGUUUGUUCCUGCAUGCAUGGAGAUAUUAUCGGAGACGUGACAACUACCCGAUAGAUUUUAUCUCGGUUUGUUGAAACAAUUUUGUAUUUACUCAACUAAAUGAAACCAGUUACGCAAUUUUCUGUAUAUAUUUAUGCCUGAGUUUCUGCUUACGUGCAUGCCAUGCAAUAUUCUCGG